rnacentral:lncRNA from 1 species
UGGGCAGCUCCCCUACUUCAUGUUGCAACUUAGUUUUGAAUAAGUAGACGGCAAAACAAAGCUUUAUAGCUUUCAUGAAAGUUGUAGGUCAAAGUCUUGAGAUUGCAAGGAGAUGAGAAUCACCACAAAAUGCAUUUUGUACAACAAGACAUCAUUAACAUCAGUUGGGUCAAUCUCAGAGAACUUAUCGGCCGGCAAACCGGAGACGAACGACCACGGUCCCGGCCUUACCAGCACCGGAGGUGUACUAAUCAAUGAACCCACGAAACCAACCUUCUUUUAUGACAAAAUAAACCAAGCCUAAGCGGUCACGACAUCUUGUUGAUAUUGAUUGAGUUGGAGGAACUUUCGCUGACUGAAUCCAUCCCCUAGACCGCGGUAACCUUCGUAACCAAAGCGUCACGACAACAUCCAAAGGUGACCA